GCGACCCCAGGUCAGGCGGGAUUACCCGCUGAGUU
rnacentral:rRNA from 86 species